ensembl:rRNA 5S_rRNA 5S ribosomal RNA
UUUUCUGAUUAAUGUACUUUGAAUUGAAAUUUCAGUUCCCUCGGAAGCAAAGCAGGGUGGGGCCCAGUUAGUACUUGGAUGGGAGAAUGCCUGGGAAUACUGGGUGCUAUAAGCU